UAGGACUAUAGUCAAAUAUGAUAUAUGAUUUGCAAUUAUAAGGUGUUUUUUAAACUAGUCUUAA
rnacentral:tRNA from 1 species